CAGUAGCCGCGGGAAUACGUAGGGUGCGAGCGUUAAUCGGAAUUACUGGGCGUAAAGCGUGCGCAGGCGGUUCGUUAAGACAGAUGUGAAAUCCCCGGGCUUAACCUGGGAACUGCAUUUGUGACUGGCGAGCUAGAGUAUGGCAGAGGGGGGUAGAAUUCCACGUGUAGCAGUGAAAUGCGUAGAGAUGUGGAGGAACACCGAUGGCGAAGGCAGCCCCCUGGGCCAAUACUGACGCUCAUGCACGAAAGCGUAGGGAGCAAACAGGAUUAGAGACCCCUGUAGUCCCUGUCUCUUAUAC
rnacentral:rRNA from 1 species